GAGACUGUGGCUCGGGGGUAGAACAUCUGCUUUGCAUGCAGAAGAUUCCAGGUUCAGUCCCUGGCAUUUCCAGUUUUA
rnacentral:tRNA from 1 species